rnacentral:rRNA from 1 species
GUGAGGAAUAUUGCGCAAUGGAGGCAACUCUGACGCAGCCAUGCCGCGUGCAGGAAGAAGGCGCUACGCGUUGUAAACUGCUUUUAACCGGGAAGAAACCCCAGGACGUGUCCUGGGUUGACGGUACCGGAGGAAUAAGCACCGGCUAACUUCGUGCCAGCAGCCGCGGUAAUACGAAGGGUGCAAGCGUUAUCCGGAUUCAUUGGGUUUAAAGGGUGCGUAGGCGGAGCGUUAAGUCAGUGGUGAAAUCCUGCAGCUUAACUGUAGACUUGCCAUCGAUACUGGCGCUCUUGAGUGCGCUUGAAGUGGGCGGAAUGUGCCGUGUAGCGGUGAAAUGCUUAGAUAUGGCACAGAACACCAAUUGCGAAGGCAGCUCACUAAGGCGAUACUGACGCUGAGGCACGAAAGCGUGGGGAUCGAACAGGAUUAGAUACCCCAGUAGUCC